rnacentral:tRNA from 1 species
AUCUAAAUAGCUUAUUUAUAUAAUAAAGUUUAAUAUUGAAGAUAUUAAGAAAAUUAAUUAAUUUUUAGAUA